rnacentral:rRNA from 1 species
AAAGCGUGCGCAGGCGGUUUUGUAAGACUGUCGUGAAAUCCCCCGGGCUCAACCUGGGAAUGGCGAUGGUGACUGCAAGGCUAGAGUUUGGCAGAGGGGGGUAGAAUUCCACGUGUAGCAGUGAAAUGCGUAGAUAUGUGGAGGAACACCGAUGGCGAAGGCAGCCCCCUGGGUCAAAACUGACGCUCAUGCACGAAAGCGUGGGGAGCAAACAGGAUUAGAUACCCUGU